AGAGUUUGAUCCUGGCUCAGGAUGAACGCUAGCGGGAGGCUUAACACAUGCAAGUCGUGGGGCAGCACGGGGUAGCAAUACUCUGGUGGCGACCGGCGCACGGGUGAGUAACGCGUAUGCAACCUACCCUGUACAGGGGGAUAGCCCGGAGAAAUUCGGAUUAAUACCCCAUAAUGAUAUUUAGUGGCAUCACUGAAUAUUUAAAGCUUCGGCGGUACAGGAUGGGCAUGCGUAAGAUUAGCUAGUUGGUAGGGUAACGGCCUACCAAGGCUCCGAUCUUUAGGGGUCCUGAGAGGGUGAUCCCCCACACUGGUACUGAGACACGGACCAGACUCCUACGGGAGGCAGCAGUGAGGAAUAUUGGGCAAUGGGCGCAAGCCUGACCCAGCCAUGCCGCGUGAAGGAUGAAUGCCCUACGGGUUGUAAACUUCUUUUGUACGGGACGAAACUCUUGGUCGUGACCGAGAUUGACGGUACCGUGCGAAUAAGCAUCGGCUAACUCCGUGCCAGCAGCCGCGGUAAUACGGAGGAUGCGAGCGUUAUCCGGAUUCAUUGGGUUUAAAGGGUGCGUAGGCGGAAUAGUAAGUCAGUGGUGAAAGCCUGCGGCUUAACCGUAGAAUUGCCAUUGAUACUGUUAUUCUUGAGUAUAGUUGAAGUGGGCGGAAUGUGUAAUGUAGCGGUGAAAUGCUUAGAUAUUACACAGAACACCAAUUGCGAAGGCAGCUCACUAAGCUGUUACUGACGCUGAGGCACGAAAGCGUGGGGAGCAAACAGGAUUAGAUACCCUGGUAGUC
rnacentral:rRNA from 1 species